rnacentral:rRNA from 1 species
UAGGGAAUCUUCCACAAUGGGCGCAAGCCUGAUGGAGCAACACCGCGUGAGUGAAGAAGGGUUUCGGCUCGUAAAGCUCUGUUGUUAAAGAAGAACACGUAUGAGAGUAACUGUUCAUACGUUGACGGUAUUUAACCAGAAAUCACGGCUAACUACGUGCAAG